AUGGAUUCUCUCCUCCACGAUGUCUCUUCUCCAUUACCUCUCUCUCCCCACGUACUACACGGUUCCUCUCUCCUCCAUGAUCUCUUCUUCUCCAUUAUCUCUCUCUCCUCAGAUGCAAAGCAAACCCAUCCACGGUCUCCCCCCUUCUCCAUUAUCUCUCUCAAUGUCCCGAUGGAAUACAAAUCCAUAUUCUCUCUUAACCUGAAGGCAUAGAUCUGAAAAAUCUAUAGCGCCUACUACGCGCUAGCCCGACGUGCGGCUGACCACCUGAUCUAGCGCGCUGGGCAGACCCGGCUGGACACACGGCAAUAGAUUUCCUCAUCUAUAUCGGAUUUGUAUAGUCGUGUAAUUUAUUCUCGGUUUGUUUUCUUGCUGACUUAUACUUGAAUCCAUCAUGACUUUUCCUUUGGAUCCAGAUUGAUUUCUUUGUGUCAUGCCGCCCUACAAAUCCUCAGGCCGCCCAAUGAAUCCCCAGGCUCCGUCACCUCUGCUCGCCGCCAUCCUCACCCCCGAACAUCUGAACAGCCUUUGUGGGUACAUAUUUUGCUAUAAAGGAGUUCAGCUAUGCCAUGGUGUAUACGUGGUUGUUCAUGUGCAGUAGUGUGCAGGUAUGGAGAGGUACGUACUGUAGUAACUAAAAUUAUCAGAUUGUGGUGCAAGAAUGCUUGGUGAGCACUGAGCAGACAUGUUGAUAAGCCAGUCACUGCCUUGUGAGGUUCACUGUUGAUGAUCAGAGACUAAUAAUUCAUAUAUGAGGACAUUUGAUUUUUCUGGUCAGGGAGUAUUUAUCGGUGGAAGACCCAUCAGUACUUGCCAGAAUAUACAUGUACAUACCUGACUGCAAUGCAUGCUUGCAUCCCGUUCCAUCUGCAGAAAAAUUAAGGUAAUUGAAUCAACUAGGUUUGAUCUGCUAUAUGUGCAAUACAAUGUAAUUUGUUGGCAAAAACAAUUAAUUUCUUACUUAAGUACACAUAUGGCAGAUCAGAUUGAGGCUCAGAGCCUAGCGUAGAAUUGCAUCGGCGAUACCGAUGGCCAUCAACAAUCCAAUAGACAUAGACGUAGUGAGCCCAUGUCGUAGUGCCCAAAUGGCAGGCCAUUGCGACUAAGACGAAGGCUUUGGUAGGCCCCAGAUGAUAAUAGCAUACUUUGUAUGUCGCUGCAUGGCAGAAUGACUCCACGAGAGAAUUUUUGUCAUGGUUGGAGACCAGAUGAUAUUAUGGCCUCCAAUAUCCACUUUAGCAGACCAAUGUGCAUGCUUUGGUUCAGCGUUCUGCAUAUAAUAAGAGACCAACAGGAGCAGCCUAUGAUGGAGUCCUAAGAAAAAUUGCACAAACAACUGCAAGUCUAGGCUAUGUUGUGGUCUGAUUUGGGCAGAAAAACUGCUUUGAAAAUUGGGACUACUGAAGAUGGUAUAAGAUGUUUCACUUCUCAUGUUUACUAUUUUCUUUUCUACCGAGAUCUAAUUAGUGUCGUUUUCUUCUAUCAUUUUUAUAAAAUUGUAUGUACACUAUAAUACAGUUUAUACCCUGAGAAAAUAAUAGCAUCGGAGAGCUAGCGGUUUGGGCGUAAGGGGCAUGGAGAAAACCUGGCAUUGUUGAAGGCACCGCUGCCGGACGCGUUGUUCUACAAGCCAUGUUUUCUGCUGUCCAGUACAAUAGACCAGGAAAAUUAGUAGCUUCAUACAUGGAUGUUCAGGUAUGCAAUCAUCUUUUAUACACAAAUGAUCUUCAUAAUAUAAAUAUGGAUUUUGAUUGCGCUAUACCAGCACAGCUACAGGCUUCUAUAUUAUGCAUGAACUGAAGUAUGUGAUGGUUGAUCUAUGGAGGGCACACUAUACAGCAGGUACAUUUGAAAAAAUAAUACAACUUACAACUUACAUUAUCACAAUCUUUCCUGUAAAUUAAUAAUCUUUGUUCCCUACUAUGGUAGUAGUAAAUAAUCGACCAUCUAUUGUCUCAUCUCAAUAUCUCUUGCCUUGAAGCUUUGUCUGUGUGAGCUACCGGAUGACCUAUUCUAUUGCGUAGUGGCGAUUGCUAUGCGUUUGGGCUCGCGUAGCCUCAUGGCCCUCAUUAUAGGAUGUGUGGUAUCCUAGAAGCAGCUUCAAUCGCUGAGAAUGGGAUGCAUGCACGUGUGGGCAGUUUUUCGACACCUCAUGCAAAUAAAUUCAGAGCACAACCAUGUUCAUCAGGUGAGCUUACACAAAUUAAACAUCAUGUUGGUUCACAACAUCGUCGACCAUGACCAUCUGGCGAGGUUAUACAAAUUAGACACCAUGUUGGUUCACAACAUCGUAGAUGGUUCGCUUCUCUAACUAGGUGCCAAUGUUUUCUUUGGUCCGUUGUUCUCACUGUGCAUGUUAGGGAAUCAUCUUUUGUGUUCUUUCGCAGAUUCAAUUUUUUGUAAUCCUUUAAUUUGUUAUAUCAAGUUCAACUAUUUUUCUUGGCAAUUUAAUGUUUAAAGAAAUUGCGUGUGAUAUGAAGGCCAGAUUAAUUAAGAUGUGGGAUGCCAUUAACGUGAACAGUGAACUUACUUGAUGAAGAGGGCAUGAUGCAUGAGAAGGUAAUGUAACAUAUUGUUAUCAAGUUCAGUCGCUGAUCCAAGAAGGUUCAGUCUAAGUUUAUAUCUUCGCCGUAUUUCCAUCAAAUUGGAGGUGAGAAGACACCUUAUUUCUUGCACACUAAUCCAAAAAAACUAUUGGCGAAGAUUGAAUUUUCAGUUUUGACUGAAUGAAUAUAAUCUCAAUUCUCAAGUACAUUUACCAAUAUUACACUAUUUAUGCAAAAAAAUCACAGAUUUUGAAGAAGACACGUCAUUAAAGCAUACAAAUGUCGAACAGGUUCUGUUAUUUCGACCAUGAGGCUCUAUAUUGUUUUGUAUGUGCAAGCCAUAUUAAAAGUUUGUUAUGCUUUUCUAGGAGACUAUUACCAGGACACCAAAUGUCAAAAUUUGAAUGGACAGCAGGCAGACUAUAAAUCAGUUGUAAAGGGGCAAGUGCAAAACUUAUUUGUUCUGAAAAAUAUAAAGCAAGAGCCGGAGGAUGAUGAACUCCACCUCCAUACUACCUAAAAGGAUUAGGGGAAGGAGCACAAGUCGUGUCACAUGUAGAAGAGGAAUAAAAAAAGGAAGGUACUCAGGUGUUGAUAUAAAAUCACCGAAUAUAGAAUGUCCAGUGUGUCCUGGACUCGAAAAUUAGUUAUAAUUUGAACAGGUACAAGCAUUCUUAUCUGACAAAAUGUAAUAUGGUCCAGAUAUAGCACCUUUUUUAAAUUGUUCCACCAUCCA